rnacentral:rRNA from 1 species
UACAGAGGGUGCAAGCGUUAAUCGGAAUUACUGGGCGUAAAGCGUGCGCAGGCGGUUUUGUAAGUUUGUCGUGAAAGCCCCGGGCUCAACCUGGGAAUUGCGAUGAAGACUGCAAGGCUAGAGUGUGUCAGAGGGGGGUAGAAUUCCACGUGUAGCAGUGAAAUGCGUAGAUAUGUGGAGGAACACCGAUGGCGAAGGCAGCCCCCUGGGAUAACACUGACGCUCAUGCACGAAAGCGUGGGGAGCAAACAGG